AGCCAGCGCAUGCGCGGCGGCGGGGAGCAAGAUGGCGGCGAGCAGGGCGGGUGUUUUCGCUCGGCGGCUGCGGGCGAGGGCCGAGGCCGCCUGGAGUCGAGCACGUGGGGAUCCCGGUGCCAUGGGUGUCCCCACAGCAAUGAUGUUGGAGUCUGGAGUUGGUGCGGCACAGAUGAGCACAACAUCAGUGGCGCUUUGGUGGAGGGUGCUCUUCAGCUGGAGCUGGCUGGCAUGGGGGUGAUCUCCCGUGCUCUGGUUUGGCAGGCAAUGAAGGCGAAUGUGGUGACCGAAGGAAGAUCAGAGAGGAUGUGGCUGCCAUUGAGGAUGCCUCUUGAGGACCAGUGGUGUGACGCACAGCACUGCAAAAGCUAAGAUGCGGAUUAGUGUUUGGAUCUCUUGAGGGAGAUGGAGGAAGGAAGGGGAAUGCCGUAAGAAGGUGUGGAGCCUUGUGGAGAGCAAGUUGCUUGCGUCCGGGAGGAGCAGGGCAAGGUGAGUGUUGGUCUGAGAGAGGACGCAGAGCCCAGUGUAGGGCUGUUGUCUCGUUGGCGCUGUUCUGGUUUUACAGGUGCCUGGUGGGCCUUGGCGUGGCAGCCAAUGGCCCAGCAGUCAAGAUGGGUGAGCAGAGCAGGCAAAGGUGUUGUAGUGAGGUACUGUUGUGGUGGGGUGUGGUUUUGGCAUCACCUCAAGGUGUGGUUGUCUCAGGUUUUGCAGGAAGUUGUGAAGAGGAGAAGUAGAGUGCUGAGAAGAGCCCGAGCAGGUAUGGUGUGGGCCUUUCCCAAGCGUGGCUGAGGAUUUCAGGUGCCAUGGGCUUCCCCCCAGCCAGGAUGCUGGUGUUUGGAAUUGGCGCAGUUCAGGUGAAGGCAAAUGUGGCAAGCAAAGGAAGAUCGGAGAGGAUGGGUCUGCCAUUGAGGAUGGCUCUUGAGGACCGAUGGUGAUGCAGAGCACCGGAAGAGCUAAGUUGAUGGGCAAAGGGUGUUGGGGUGUCUUGACUGUGUGUGUGUGUGUGUGUGUGU